CUUACACCAAACCUUUUCAAGAGAAAAAAUAGAUUUUUUAAGUCGCGGGAUGAAUAUUGUGUUAUAGAAUCGUAUGAUGUGUCCCCGCUGGCCAUCUUGUAAAGGAACGCGCUUAACAAUGUCUUACUGCAUUCCUGUCUCUAUAUAAACUGCGGUAACGCUCUAUAAUAACUCGAAAAGGAACAACGCUCGGAGCUAAGCGCAUCGCGCCAUAAAUGCAACAGAUGAUGAUCUCAAUUUCACCUGAUCCACGUGCCUGUCAAAAAAAAGAUCGGGAUGGAAAACAAGACUCGACUCUAUAAGAAAUCUGAUCUUUUCUUUAUAACUCUAAAAAAAGGGAAAAAUGACGAUCAGCCCAAGCAUCUAUAACGGUUGAAUUAGCAAAAAACCGGCGGGAUCUCCAAAGCGCCCGCCAAGCUGCCCAGUCGGCUUAAAAAAAGGCGAUAUAUUUUCCGAUAGAAAAAAAAAAGUUCUUUGCCUCGCGGGGGAGUUUUUUGAAGAUCCCGCGGAGGCGUCUUCGGCAGUUCUACUUCGCCUCUUUAAAAAAUUUGAUCUUGAUUAAUUACUUUGUAUACAUAAAAAGCCAGAAUAUGAUUAUUACGAGUGUAACUUUUUAUAAUAAUCUUUGUAAAAAGAAUGAUCUUUCUGAAGUGAAAGUAAUUCCAAUAAGGAGGCAGAGCGCCAAAUUAAUU